rnacentral:rRNA from 1 species
AUACCUAAGCGUUACUGCGUUUAAAAGUUCCUAGCUGGAAGCAGGCUGGGCGGAAGAGUCACCGAAAACGGGAUUUGGAAGCCUGGUCGACGGGGGGCUGCGCUUUAAUCUAAGUGCCUGAGAUGCUGCGAAUUCCUUUCGGAAGCAGAGGGUGCGCGCACAACCCCCCUUUACCUGUAUAUUAGUAUAUAUUAGUAUGUAGGUAGAUGCAUGGAGAAGUUCGACGGCAGGAGUAUUGUUUGACUAGAGGUGGAAUUCACUGACUCAAACAGGACUACCAGUGGCGCA